rnacentral:rRNA from 1 species
UACGUAGGGUACAAGCAUUAAUCGGAUUUAUUGGGCGUAAAGGGCGCGUAGGCGGGGAUUUAAGUCAGGUGUGAAAUCCCGGAGCUCAACUCCGGAACGGCAUUUGAAACUAGAUCUCUAGAGGGUAGGCGGAGAAAACGGAAUUCCACAAGUAGCGGUGAAAUGCGUAGAUAUGUGGAAGAACACCAGUGGCGAAGGCGGUUUUCUAGCUUACACCUGACGCUGAGGCGCGAAAGCAAGGGGAGCAAACAGG